GUUAAAAGCAAGCCCCGCCCCCCCCAACUGGGGGCUUCCAGAUUGAAAAAAGACGAGAUUCCAUGAGACUAGAAAUGUAGGAGCAUCUCAGACCUUCACAGAACGCUCUGUUAGAAGAUGAGAAACAUAACGUUGCUUGUGAGAGGUGAAGCCAGCUGGACUUCCUGGGUCGAGUGGGGACUUGGAGAACUUUUCUGUCUAGCUAAAGGAUUAUAAGUGCACCAAUCAGCACUCUGUAAAAACACACCAGUCAGCGCUCUGUGUCUAGCUAAAGGAUUGUAAAUGCACCAAUCAGCACUCUGUAAAAUGGACCAAUCAGUACCCUGUAAAAUGGACCAAUCAGCAGGACGUGGGCAGGGACAAAUAAG
rnacentral:lncRNA from 1 species